GCAUAUCAAUAAGCGGAGGAAAAGAAACCAACAGGGAUUGCCCUAGUAACGGCGAGUGAAGCGGCAACAGCUCAAAUUUGAAAUCUGGCUCUCGGGCCCGAGUUGUAAUUUGUAGAGGAUGCUUUUGAUGCGGUGCCUUCCGAGUUCCCUGGAACGGGACGCCAUAGAGGGUGAGAGCCCCGUCUGGUUGGAUACCAAAUCUCUGUAAAGCUCCUUCGACGAGUCGAGUAGUUUGGGAAUGCUGCUCUAAAUGGGAGGUAUAUGUCUUCUAAAGCUAAAUACUGGCCAGAGACCGAUAGCGCACAAGUAGAGUGAUCGAAAGAUGAAAAGCACUUUGAAAAGAGAGUUAAAAAGUACGUGAAAUUGUUGAAAGGGAAGCGUUUAUGACCAGACUUGGGCUUGGAUAAUCAUCUGGGGUUCUCCCCAGUGCACUUUUCCAGUCCAGGCCAGCAUCAGUUUUCGCCGGGGGAUAAAGGCUUCGGGAAUGUGGCUCCCUCCGGGGAGUGUUAUAGCCCGUUGCGUAAUACCCUGGCGGGGACUGAGGUUCGCGCAUCUGCAAGGAUGCUGGCGUAAUGGUCAUCAACGACCCGUCUUGAAACACGGACCAAGGAGUCGUCUUCGUAUGCGAGUGUUCGGGUGUCAAACCCCUACGCGUAAUGAAAGUGAACGCAGGUGAGAGCUUCGGCGCAUCAUCGACCGAUCCUGAUGUUCUCGGAUGGAUUUGAGUAAGAGCAUACGGGGCCGGACCCGAAAGAAGGUGAACUAUGCCUGUGUAGGGUGAAGCCAGAGGAAACUCUGGUGGAGGCUCGCAGCGGUUCUGACGUGCAAAUCGAUCGUCAAACAUGGGCAUGGGGGCGAAAGACUAAUCGAACCUUCUAGUAGCUGGUUUCCGCGA
rnacentral:rRNA from 1 species